AUGAUACUUCUCUCAAGAAUGGAAUUGUUGGCCUGCGAAGCCGAGACACUACCCUAAAGGAACAAGUUCAUGUGACUGACUUGACAACAUACAUUGAGAAGCUGCUGAAAAAUUACUGACUUCUGAACAUAGCUGUACUUUUAGACAAAAGAAACAUGAAAACACAAGACCUCAUAGAAUUACAAAAAUGAUUUAUUAACUAAACAUUUUGCAUUGUUUCAAUGAAAAUAAUGACACAGGUUUAUUUCAAUAUCAUACCUUUUUUCAUUUUAUACAUAACAUGUAUUAGGUCAUAAGAGACUCACAGUCUCAUUAUGACAUGAAUUUUUUAUUAAGCAGUGAUGAUACAUAACUAUCUAAAUACUACAGGAGGCACACAACAAGAUGUAAUAUGUAAUUGAAGUUCACCUUUUCUUUUGUUACAUAAAUGCAUUUGGGAUUGUG